GACGAACGCUGGCGGCGUGCUUAACACAUGCAAGUCGAACGGUGAAGCGCCUUCCUUUUUGGUGGGUGUGGAUGAGUGGCGAACGGGUGAGUAACACGUGAGUAACCUGCCCCCUUCUUCUGGAUAACCGCAUGAAAGUGUGGCUAAUACUGGAUAUUCUGGGUCUGUCGCAUGAUGGGUCUGGGAAAGAUAUUGUUUCGGUGGGGGAUGGGCUCGCGGCCUAUCAGCUUGUUGGUGGGGUGAUGGCCUACCAAGGCGGUGACGGGUAGCCGGCCUGAGAGGGUGGACGGUCACACUGGGACUGAGACACGGCCCAGACUCCUACGGGAGGCAGCAGUGGGGAAUAUUGCACAAUGGGCGCAAGCCUGAUGCAGCGACGCCGCGUGAGGGAUGGAGGCCUUCGGGUUGUGAACCUCUUUCGCCAGUGAAGCAGGCCUGCCUCGUUUGUGGGUGGGUUGACGGUAGCUGGAGAAGAAGCGCCGGCUAACUACGUG
rnacentral:rRNA from 1 species